AUUGAACGCUGGCGGCAGGCCUAACACAUGCAAGUCGAGCGGAUGAAGGGAGCUUGCUCCUGGAUUCAGCGGCGGACGGGUGAGUAAUGCCUAGGAAUCUGCCUGGUAGUGGGGGAUAACGUCCGGAAACGGGCGCUAAUACCGCAUACGUCCUGAGGGAGAAAGUGGGGGAUCUUCGGACCUCACGCUAUCAGAUGAGCCUAGGUCGGAUUAGCUAGUUGGUGGGGUAAAGGCCUACCAAGGCGACGAUCCGUAACUGGUCUGAGAGGAUGAUCAGUCACACUGGAACUGAGACACGGUCCAGACUCCUACGGGAGGCAGCAGUGGGGAAUAUUGGACAAUGGGCGAAAGCCUGGUCCAGCCAGGCCGCGUGUGUGGAGAAGGUCUUCGGAUUGUAAAGCACUUUAAGUUGGGAGGAAGGGCAGUAAGUUAAUACCUUGCUGUUUUGACGUUACCAACAGAAUAAGCACCGGCUAACUUCGUG
rnacentral:rRNA from 1 species